rnacentral:rRNA from 1 species
UACGAAGGGGGCUAGCGUUGUUCGGAAUUACUGGGCGUAAAGCGCGCGCAGGCUGUCCUCCAAGUCAGUGGUGAAAGCCCGGAGCUCAACUCCGGAAUUGCCAUUGAAACUGUUGGACUGGAGUACGAGAGAGGUGAGUGGAAUUCCCAGUGUAGAGGUGAAAUUCGUAGAUAUUGGGAAGAACACCGGUGGCGAAGGCGGCUCACUGGCUCGUAACUGACGCUCAGGCGCGACAGCGUGGGGAU